rnacentral:rRNA from 1 species
UACGUAGGGAGCAAGCGUUGUCCGGAAUCAUUGGGCGUAAAGCGCGCGUAGGUGGCUUCGUAAGUCCGUUGUGAAAGUCAAAGGCUCAACCUUUGAAAGCCGAUGGAUACUGCGGAGCUAGAGUACGGAAGAGGCGAGUGGAAUUCCUGGUGUAGCGGUGGAAUGCGCAGAUAUCAGGAGGAACACCAAUAGCGAAGGCAGCUCGCUGGGACGUUACUGACACUGAGGUGCGAAAGCGUGGGGAGCAAACAGG